rnacentral:rRNA from 1 species
AUUGAACGCUGGCGGCAUGCCUUACACAUGCAAGUCGAACGGCAGCAUAGGAGCUUGCUCCUGAUGGCGAGUGGCGAACGGGUGAGUAAUAUAUCGGAACGUGCCCUAGAGUGGGGGAUAACUAGUCGAAAGAUUAGCUAAUACCGCAUACGAUCUAAGGAUGAAAGUGGGGGAUCGCAAGACCUCAUGCUAGUGGAGCGGCCGAUAUCUGAUUAGCUAGUUGGUGGGGUAAAAGCUCACCAAGGCGACGAUCAGUAGCUGGUCUGAGAGGACGACCAGCCACACUGGGACUGAGACACGGCCCAGACUCCUACGGGAGGCAGCAGUGGGGAAUUUUGGACAAUGGGGGCAACCCUGAUCCAGCAAUGCCGCGUGAGUGAAGAAGGCCUUCGGGUUGUAAAGCUCUUUUGUCAGGGAAGAAACGGUGAGAGCUAAUAUCUCUUGCUAAUGACGGUACCUGAAGAAUAAGCACCGGCUAACUACGUGCCAGCAGCCGCAGUAA